rnacentral:rRNA from 1 species
UACGGAGGAUCCAAGCGUUAUCCGGAAUUACUGGGCGUAAAGAGUUGCGUAGGUGGCAUCGUAAGUCGGUAGUGAAAGCGUGCAGCUCAACUGCAUAUACAUUAUCGAAACUGCGAAGCUAGAGGACGAGAGAGGUACCUGGAAUUCCUAGUGUAGGAGUGAAAUCCGUAGAUAUUAGGAGGAACACCGAUGGCGUAGGCAGGGUACUGGCUUAUUCCUGACACUAAGGCACGAAAGCGUGGGGA